ensembl:miRNA tgu-mir-7-1 tgu-mir-7-1
UAGUUCUGUGUGGAAGACUAGUGAUUUUGUUGUUUUUUGAUAACUAAAUUGACAACAAAUCACAGUCUGCCAU